AGAUAGGUGAAUUUAGCUAGAAAGAAUUGUGUGGCUGUGGUGGUUACAUUGCAGCUAAGACAACAACCCAAUCUUCUGGAACACAUUAAUUAAUUAUGAAAUGCAAGCUGAAACUCCAGUUGAAUAAGUUAGUUGAUAUAAUAUACUGAGAAUAGUUGGUUCCAUGAAUGAAAAAGUUGGAGCUAGUCUGUUUUUAAAUUAUAGAGAUGAAUUUGGUGUACAUACACUCAUUUGAUUUAUGGAAAGUUUGUAAGAAAAUUAACAGUGAUAUGAAUUUAGGUACAAAACCUACAUCAGAAGAAGUUCACACUGCAGGGCAUUCAUGCCCAAUUUGUCAUGAUGAUUUUGCUAACCCAAUAAAACUUACUUGUCAACACAUAUUCUGUGAAGACUGUGUGUCACUGUGGUUUGACCGGGAACAGACUUGUCCAAUGUGCCGUACACGAAUCUCAGACAGUACUCCAUACCGUAGUGAAUCAGACAGUUAUUUCAUUCAGUGGUAUUGAACCUCAAACAGUAUCAAGGCAUCUACUUGCUACAUUUGGAUGGUGCUCACACUAAGGAAGGCUUUCUCUUCUCUUAUUAUUUUUGCUCUAUUCUGACAAUGACGAGAAAAUGGAAAAAUGUUUUUAAUACCGAUUCUUUGUCAGUUAAUACAAAUCAAGUUGUUCUUUUCUUAUUAAUUUAAUAAUGUGUUACUAUCUUAGUGCUGUGGUAAUAAUCUGUUAUUACCUCAGUACUGUACACAAAGUGUGUGUUAUUACUGUACUGCUGUAGUAAAAGUGUAUGUUAUUACUUCAGUACUGACUUAAAGUCUGUGCGAAGAAAACAAGCUUGAUUACAAAAAAUUGUAUAUUUUUUUACUUCGUUUUGAAUUGCUGGUAGCAUCUUUUUACUGGAACAGGAAGAUAAAAAUAUGUUCCAAAACAUAACUGCUGUUUUGUACUUGAUUUGGUUCUAAAUUUACAGAAUAGCUUAUAAAGCUGUUAUUUAGUUAAUAAUAAUAAUAAUGUUUUUAGGAGAUGAUGAAGUAAAGUCUAUGAGAUAGUCUUGUGUGUUGUGUAUGUGUGUGUGUAAUCUUGGUUGAAAAUGCUACAGGAAUGACUCAAAGGCUCGAAAGUUUCAUGCCAAGGCACUUGCCAAUUAUUUUGAAGUGUCCUGCUCUGAAACUUUGAGCUCUUGAGUCACUCUCUUAGCAACCUCAAAGAGAAAGAUUAUAUACUCUGCUUUAUGUAUUGAAUUCUCUUUCUCUCAUUUGUAAAAUUGUAAAACGAAACAUACCUGUUUGUGUGUGUGUGUGUGUAAUAUUAUACAAACCAAAAGAGCUAAGAUCAGUUGUUAGAGAGAAAAUAUGCUCUGCUUUUAAAUGUAUGAGAUAGUGUAACAAUAUGUUUUUUAAUAUUUUGAGAAUAAGUUUCGAAUAAUUUUUAGUUAGUUAUUUAGUGAAUUACACAGUAAGGUCUAUGCUAUAUUUCGUACUUCUUUUUUUAUGGGAUAAUGAUAUGUCCCCCAAAUUCAUCUGUUAGGCUGUGUAUGAAAUUUUGCAAGGGUUUAAGCUGUUAUUGUAUUUAAUGGGUGAUUUACCAUGCUUUUUAAAGAUCAUACAGCUUUUAUUUCGUAGCAUUUUUCUAUUUAUUUUCUCUCUCAUUGAUAGAUAUUUCUUCAUCAAAAGUGCAAUAUGUUGUUGCUGUUGUUAUCCCUUUUGUAAUUAAUAUCAAAUGAUUUAUAAGCAUAUUUAAGGUUUAUAUUUGUCUUUCAACAGUUUCAUUAAAGCUGUAGGGUUGAAAAACCUCUUCAAAAUAAGAAAUAAUGGUGCUUAUUAACUCCUAGAAUCUCUUUUCUUUAAAGGGUUUAGUUUCCAUAUAUUAAUAGAUGCACAACUUCCAGCAAACUUUUUUUAGCUUUUCUCCAUUCAUCACCUUAGUUAUUACUUACUCUGGCUAUUCUCUCUCUAAUUUUAUGCAAAAGAUGAGGGUCUUUUUGCAAAUAUUUCAUAUAUUAUCCUGACCAUGCAUCAAUGUUCUAGACAUAAGAAAAAAAAAUCUUCUUUUUGUUUGGAUUGAAAAUCUUCAAAUCUUUCAACUUGAUUUUCUUACUUCCCAGAUCUCCUAGCCAUCCUAAGCUAUUUGAUGCAUCUUUUUUUUUUUUUUGUAAUCUUGAAAACACCCACCAUGGCAUCUCAGAAUUAAUCUUAUUAUAAACUUCAAUAUCCACAACUCUUUUUGUUGAUCUUACUGGUACAUAAACUGACAUUGUUAUCAUUUAAUUUCUCUUUGUACGUAAAUCACUGAAUGUCCAUUCCACUCUCCCAGCAUAGUAAUACUUCUACUUCUUUACUCUUACCCCAAGUGUCUACUUCAAUAUUUCCAUUUGAACUCUUCCUGGUUUUUCUGCUGGAUUUUUUACCACAAACCUUACAACUGCUAGUAAACUGCAUUCUGAACUUUCUAAGUGUUUAAAUCAGCUAACUGGCAUGAGACAGUUUCUGUAUAGGAUAACCAUGGCAAUAAUUGUACCGAAAAGGCCCAAAAUAUAAUGGGUAGAAUCUUUCUCAAUAUAUUCUUGUAUAUUUCACUUACUAAGAACUAGAAUCCUAAUAUCCUCAAAUGAGAGGUUUUUAUACAAGUGUAAAACCACUUUCAAAGCCCAGAAGUCCUCACUUGCUAAUGAUAUUGUUACUAUUAAUAAUCAUUUCACUAAGACCAUUAAGGAAUAUAUUUACACCCUAUACAUAACUACUAAGCUAUCACUUGAUUAUGAUCCAUUGCCAACUUUAUUUCUAUUAGCUUUAACUAAUCUUUUCUUGUAAUUAAAAAAAAAAACCUUAAUUUUUAUCUUCAGCCAUCCUUUCACCAAAUCUGUUUUUUUUUUUUGUCUAGCUUCUUUGAUUUCUAAUGUCUCUCUAGCUAAACACCAAUCUCCUACUCUUUCUCCACAAUGCAAUGCAGUGUAUGUCAAGAAUUUUAUCUCAUCCAUAAACUUCUUUAACUCUGAUGUCAGUGUUUUAUUGUCAGUGUUUUAUCGUCAGUGAAUUCUAUGUUCUGCUUGUUACAAAUAUCAACACUCUGUAUGAUAUCCAUUGUAGUCUUCAAUAGGGAUUUGAAAAUCUGGUUCAAUGGACAUAGGCAGUUCACACCAAGUCAGAUCAAGUGAACAACAUUAGCAUGGCACUACACAAAGAAUAGAAAAGUCAGACAGACCACACAACUAGAUACAAAUAUUCCUAUUAACAGGUUAGGUGCCAACACCAAUUUUAAUAUGCUGUUUAUAAGUUCUGUUGCUCGUCUAAUGACUGAAACAAGUAUAAGAUAGAAAAUAAAAAUAAUUAAUUCUUUUUUAAUACAUUCUUUACAUAUUUUUAAAAAUCUAAAAGAAAAUUAUUAAUAGUUCAUACAGAAUUAAUUUAUGAAUUGUUUUUCAUGAGCAAACAUUAGUCUCUUCUGACAUAUUGAUGAAUAUUACACUUAAUAGUUGUAAUAAUCUUAGGUAAGAAAUUAUAAAUACUUAUUUAAAAAUUCCUUUGUGUUGUAAAAUCAGUUGUGAGAAUAAUCAACUUCAUUUUCUAAUCUAUUAAUAACUUUGAAAACUUAAUAUUUAACAUAUUUCUUUUAUUAUUUAGAAAUUUUACUUAGUAUUUCAAAAGUUUGUAUAAUUUCUUUUUGUGUUUGUUUUUUACUUUAUUAGUCACAUGCAUAUUACAAUUUUUGCUGUCUGAAUCUGUUUAAUGAAGCGAGCUAUAUAAGUAUUUCUGACUAGAGCUUUAUAAUAUAAAACUGUUCUUCCUUAACUUGUAAUUAGUAUGUGCCUAUAACUAUACCAUUAUCUUGCUUUAUAGUUAUGGAUGUGGAAAUGUUAUAGCUCAGGCUUCUAUCAAAAUGACUCCAAAAUCCUCCAGCUAUUACUAUUAUUUCAAUCAAGUUAGCUCCUAAGUCUUUAUUUGUGUUAUGCUUUUAUGCUUGAUCCUGCAAUUUAACUCUUACUUUAUUUGAUUUUGUAGUAAGUUGAUACAAAAUAAUUUUGAGAAAUGUAUUUGUCUUUUGGAGAGUUUAUUGGCAUUUAUUUAAUAAGGAAAAAAUAUAGAAUUUUGUCAUAAAAAAUGUGUGCCACUAUUAAUUUGUGACCUAUAGUAUCAAAUUUUUAAAAUAUAUUAUCUUAUAAACAUCUUCCUAACUGAAAAUAAGAUAAAAUUUUAAAACAAAAUUCAAAAUGAAUUCUUUGUGAAGAUUUAUCUGUUUGAUUCUAUUUUGAGCAAAAAGAUCAUAGUUAAACAGUCAACUAUGGCCAUGGAAGUAAUGCAAUGAUAUUAAUAAGAUUAUUGCUCUCACAGAAAUUGUUGUCAUUUAAACAUUGCACCUGCUGCCUAAGUCUAUAAAUUCACAGCACUUCUUUCUGUGGAUUCAGUCAGUAAGAGUUAAGUGUCUUUGCUAAGGACUAUGAUCAGAUACCAAAUAUAUUUCUCUUAUGUUUCAACAUUUUUACAUUUAAUCUACUUAUCUGAACAAAACUUUUCAAUCUUUGCUAUCUUGCUUACUAUACAUCCAUGAAGAAGGAAUGACACUUGUUUUCAUCUAGUUUGCCUGAGAGAGACAAAGGUCUGUUCCUAUGGCAUCACUUGUAAGUAGAUGGUUAGUGUACCAAUAACAGUUCACUAACCAUCUACGUCACAUCUCUAUCACAAUCUAUUAUACACAGCAGUAUUACAAGAAUUGUUCUACUCACUAGUUUAUCUAACUUAAUUAGAACAAUGUCAGAGUAAAUGUUAGACUUUUCUAGAUAUAUCAUCAGUAUUUUCUCAUUCUUAAAAAAAAAAAGAAAAGAAAAAAGCUCAACACUUUUGGUUGUGAUAAAUAACAAAUACAUUUUCCGUAUGUUCUUUUUUUUUUUGGUGGGGGGGAAGGAAAAUGUAAUUUUCUCUUGUCUUCUGCAGCUACAAAUCUCAUACAUAAGCCUGUGUGAUGAAGAACAUGAUAAAAUCUUAACAUUACCUUUUACGCAAUAAAAAUGAUAUGAAUAAAGUAGUACUCAUGUACAAAAGAGAAUCCUUAAAAGCAUAUAAUUUAAUUUUGUUAAAAUAAGUUUUAAGUACUAUUGUCUUUUUCUGUCAAUAAGAAUAAUUUUUAUACAACUUUUAGUUUCUAGCGAUGUUGUUUCAAGCUAUUUGAAACAUUAACCCUGUUCUUUUAAGUUGAGCCAGGGAUUUUCUUUCGUUUUUUAAAACACAAAAUUUUAGGGUAUAGCAUUUUUUUUUCUUUGUUGAAAUGCUUACAUUAAAUGUUUUACCUGUAUAUUUCUCUUUUCAAACUUAUUAACAUUGAACCACCUUCCAUUUGUAGCAGUGAUAUUUUAAUACACACAACUUAACAGCCGAGCUGUCAGCCUUGUAAACAUUAUAGAAGGAACCAUUCUAAAAGAUCGAUGUUAUUGCAAAAGUUUUUUUAACAAUUUAAAAAAGAAAUAACCACUAAAUGUCUUGUCUUAAAAAUAAAUUUAUUUUAAAGAUGAUAUAAAUAAUACUAAUGAAAAAAUCUCUGUAAAAUUGUGAUAUAACUCUUAUAGUUUAACUAUUGAGGAAGGUAUCCUUUCAUAGGCUUUGGCAUCUUCAUCUGUCCAGCUAUCCAAAAUUAUAUAAAAUAAAGGAAUGUUUUUUUUUUUUUGGAUUAACAAGCUGAGGUAACUUCCAUUUAUUCAAUCUCAGUAUUUAUUUGAUAUAUUCUUUAUUUUUCUGAUUCUGAUGAUGAUGACAAUGAUUAUGAUGAUGAUAAUAAAUUAUUAUUAACCCUUUGAAAAA